AUCAGAGAAACAGAUGGACUACAGUCUGUAACUGUAGAACUACAGAGUGCAGCUAUACAGUAAGUGGAGCAGAACGGACGAUAAAGAUAGAUACAAGAUUUGCUUCCAGCACCAACACUUCCCCCCCAUAACAGAAGAGAAAUCUACUGAAGCUUCGUCUGCAGUCCCCACAAUUCACAGUCAGACCACACUACCCUCUACAAGCUGUGAGUGUCUGGCUCAGACCUUCCUUCUGCUGACAUAGUAACACCAAAGCAGCUGUGGUCAUAGUGUUCCU